CACUGAGGAACUCUCCCAGAGGCACGGCCUCGGCACGACCCCCAGUCUGUGGCCUGAGGGGUUCGGCUGUCGGCUCCUUCCGCGAGGCUGUCCUCUAGUCGCGCGGUGCAGGAGGUGCCCGGACCUGCCAGGUCAUCUCUCUUGGUCGAGACUCUCCAGCUAGCUCUCGCCUUGCCUCAGGAAUACGGUGUGUCGCGCUAACUCGGCCUGAGAGACCGCCAGGUAGCGGUCGGACCACACACAGGAGGAGCUAAAGAGGAGAGAGCGCUCUUCGCGUGUGGAGCGGUAGUGAGGAGAAGCCAUGCUCUCGGUGAGAAAAGAGGACCGCACCGUUACACCACUGGUGAAGAGAGAAGGCUGCCCUGCUUUGUCCUGAAGCGACCGAGAAGAGAUGAAGCCAUUUCCACACUAAGGAUGACGAAAACUCUUGCAACUGAUCGCAAAAACCUCAUUGUUACAGCAAUAGCUUCUUCUCUACGUCCCGGUGUGUAUUUGUUUUGGAGUUCUUUCACUAGUGUACCUAGUAGAGUAUCUAAAAGC